rnacentral:tRNA from 1 species
CGGGCUGUAGCGCAGUUUGGUAGCGCGCUUGUCUCGGGUGCAAGAGGUCCAGGGUUCAAAUCCCUGCAGCCCGACCA